CCCUGCUCUGGUCAGAGGCGCGGCUGCGGCGCCGCCUGGAGUUGCAGUCCCGCGUGGCUGAGGGGCCGGGCCGCGGGGCCGCCGGGGAGUUACACCAGUGCGUGGCUGAGGCACGGAAGACAGAGAUGAUUCCGGGGUGGCUCCUUUGAACCGCUGCCUACUGGGCUUCAGCAGAGAGAAGAAUGCACUCACUUGAAGAAGAGACGCACGACAAAUGUUCUGAGACUGAGAAAUUCUCUCCUGCAUCCAGAUUUGAACUUGGGACCAUCUCAUGUGUCUCAGUGGUAUCCUCUGGAGAGUUGUGCAGUUCUGAAGUGGAAGAAAACAGCAGCAACAAAAUUAUUGAUACAUAGCAUAGUCUGGGUCUGUGUCAUUUUAAAACAUAUAUGGAGUAGAUAUUUUGUUUCUGCCAUUGUUACCACCCAUGGUAAUUCCUCACACAAAAUUAAAGAGAACUUAUUAAAAUUAUGUAUGUGGUGGGUAUCACUGGGAUUGGGUAUCUUCUAUAUAUUUUUAGAGAUGUAUACAGAAUAUUGGGAACUCAAAUAUGUUUAAAAUAUGAUAUACAUUCACUAGUGGUUAGAUAUUAUUACUAUUGCUAUUUUUAUUGGCUCAAUUUCCUGGUAAUAAAUUGUGCCAGUGAAAGCUGUGGAGUAUAAGUUUCAUGAGGAAUUGUGAAUGUUGACUCAUUUAUUUUGGUGAAUGUAGAGUCAUAUACAUGGAAGGGUUGAUGUGAAUAUGAAUAAAAGAUGGACCUGCAUGCAAAGAUACAAAUUGUUAGAUGGUUCUCUAGGAACUGGGCAUGGCACAGCUAAGCAUUCAAAUGAAGACUUUACAGACUUGAUCCCAGUUCAUCUUUCAGAAAUGUGAUAUAGGAGGUAGAACGUGGCAAACUGACUAGAGAAGUGGGAGGGAC
rnacentral:lncRNA from 1 species